UCCCUCGUAGCUCAGUUGAUAGAGAAUCUGCCUGCAUUGCAGGAGACCCAGGUUCGAUCCCUGGGUUGGGAA
rnacentral:tRNA from 1 species